UGUGGUCCUUGAGUUCACACUCACCAGGGCAGAAAGGACUGGCGCAAGGAGACAGUUUUCCACUGUUGGCACGGUUCAGAACAAGUGAGUCGGGUGGAGAGGGCUUCCGUGUGAUCUCCAAGCGCCGUGCCUAGUUUGCUGUGUCUUCCGCCCGCCCCGCCCUGGCCCUGCAAGCCUCUCCCUGCGCCUUGAUACCGCAGGGCGCCUUCUGCUGCUGCUGGGGCGGUGGGCGGCCAGGCAGCUGGAGGAGCCCACGACGAGGACCAGGAUGAGAAUGAAGACGGGACCGAGACGCCCCCAGAUCAUGGCGUCUCUGCGGGAACCGACACAUAGACGAAGGACCUUGUAUACAGAGCUAUUUUACAGAAAUUGCGAGUGGCACCAUGGUAUUUUUUGUGGAGCCUCACCCUCUCCUGGGCCCGCACCCCGUCGUCGUCCUCAGUCCCUGGGCAGACAUUCAUAAGCCCCUAACCGCUAAUCCCACGGUGACUCUAG
rnacentral:lncRNA from 1 species